rnacentral:lncRNA from 1 species
AUGGGCUCCUUUGUAACCCGGCCUUUUUUUCCCUUUCUUUUUUUUCCUUUAUUUUUUCCCUCUCUUUUUUUUUUCUUUCUUUAUUUUUUGCCUUUCUUUUCCCCCUUUCUUUCCUUCUUUUUUUUUUCUUUUUUUACCUUUGUUUCCCGUUCUUUUCUCCUUUCUUUUUUUCCUUUCUUUUCUUCUUUUCUUUUUUCCUUUCUUUUCUCCCUUUCUUUUCUCCCUUUCUUUUUUUCCUUUCUUUUCGCCCUUUCUUUUCUCCCUUCCUUUUUUUCUUUCUUUUCUUCCUUUCUUUUUUCCUUUCUUUUCUCCCUUUCUUUUCUCCCUUUCUUUUUUUUUCCUUUAUUUUCUUCCUUUCUUUUCUCCCUUUCUUUUUUCCUUUCUUUUCGCCCUUUCUUUUCUCCCUUUCUUUUUUCUCCUUUUCUUUUUUCCUUUCUUUUCUCCCUUUCUUUUCUCCCUUUCUUUUUUUUUCCUUUAUUUUCUUCCUUUCUUUUCUCCCUUUCUUUUUUCCUUUCUUUUCGCCCUUUCUUUUCUCCCUUUCUUUUUUCUCCUUUUCUUUUUUCCUUUCUUUUCUCCCUUUCUUUUUUUCCUUUCUUUUCUCCCUUUUUUUUCUCCCUUUCUUUUUUCCUUUCUUUUCUUCUUUUCUUUUUUCCUUUCUUUUCUCCCUUUCUUUUCUCCCUUUCUUUUUUUUUCCUUUAUUUUCUCCCUUUCUUUUCUCCCUUUCUUUUUUCCUUUCUUUUUUCCUUUCUUUUUUUCCUUUCUUCCUUUCUUUUCUCCCUUUCUUUUUCUCCUUUCUUUUUUUCCUUUCUUUUUUCCCUUUCUUUUUUCCCUUCUUUUUUUCCUUUUCUGUUUUUCCUUUCUUUUCUCCCUUUCUUUUCUCCCUUUCUUUUUUUUUCCUUUAUUUUCUCCCUUUCUUUUCUCCCUUUCUUUUUUUUUCCUUUAUUUUCUCCCUUUCUUUUCUCCCUUUCUUUUUUUUUCCUUUAUUUUCUCCCUUUCUUUUCUCCCUUUCUUUUUUUUUCCUUUAUUUUCUCCCUUUCUUUUCUCCCUUUCUUUUUUUUUCCUUUAUUUUCUCCCUUUCUUUUCUCCCUUUCUUUUUUUUUCCUUUAUUUUCUCCCUUUCUUUUCUCCCUUUCUUUUUUUUUCCUUUAUUUUCUCCCUUUCUUUUCUCCCUUUCUUUUUUUUUCCUUUAUUUUCUCCCUUUCUUUUCUCCCUUUCUUUUUUCCUUUCUUUUUUCCUUUCUUUUUUUCCUUUCUUCCAUUCUUUUCUCCCUUUCUUUUUCUCCUUUCUUUUUUUCCUUUCUUUUUUCCCUUUCUUUUUUCCCUUCUUUUUUUCCUUUUCUAUGGCAUGGGGCCUCCAACCCUCCAAAUCCCUCAGUUUCUCAGUUUAUGAACUAAUGGUAAUUUGUGGGUAG